UACGAAGGGGGCGAGCGUUGUUCGGAAUUACUGGGCGUAAAGGGCGCGUAGGCGGCCCCUUUUGUCGCGUGUGAAAGCCCCGGGCUCAACCUGGGGGGUGCGCGCGAAACGGGGGGGCUUGAGUUCGGGAGAGGAGAGUGGAAUUCCCAGUGUAGAGGUGAAAUUCGUAGAUAUUGGGAAGAACACCGGUGGCGAAGGCUGCUCUCUGGACCGAGACUGACGCUGAGGCGCGAAAGCGUGGGGAGCAAACAGG
rnacentral:rRNA from 1 species